UGAAAGUAGUGCAGGAUUCCCAGCGGCCGCUGUCACCUCUCUCCUGUCACUCGUAUUCUGGACGCAAGAAGAAAUCUUAUCAUGAAAAUUAAGACAUUUUCCUCCUGGAGACUGAAAUAUAAAGGACGAAUCAUGGCAAGACUGUGGCUACAUCUGAGACCAGCACUGGAGAGACGCUGUAUAACCCGGCAGGUUUCCAGGAGCAACAGAAGAUCCCUGCACCCAGAGCAGCACAUAAGCCAUGAACGUCAGACUGGUGGCCGUCAUCGUACUAGCUGUGGCAGUGAGUGGAUCUCCACAUGGAAGUCACUGCCACGUGUCCCGAUAUUUAUCCAUGUCUCCCACUGAUAUCACAGCGCUGAGACAGCUGCAAGGUGUAUCUAAUCUAUAAAGUAUCAAGACGGUGUAUUAUCAAUCAGGAAGAAAGUAAUCUUCCAAGAAGAGAGAAUAAAGACAGAGGAGAAAAGAAGAGAAGAGAAAGGUAUGGAAGAGCAGGCCAAGGAGAAAGAAAGGACAUAUGAUGUAAAGAAAAGAGAAGAGGAAAGAGGUCGCCCGUAGCCCCACAACAAAAAAACAAA